rnacentral:rRNA from 1 species
UACGUAUGGGGCGAGCGUUGUCCGGAUUUAUUGGGCGUAAAGAGCGUGUAGGCGGCCAGGUAGGUCUGCUGUGAAAACUCGAGGCUCAACCUCGAGACGUCGGCGGAAACCAUCUGGCUAGAGUCCGGAAGAGGAGAGUGGAAUUCCUGGUGUAGCGGUGAAAUGCGCAGAUAUCAGGAAGAACACCCGUGGCGAAGGCGGCUCUCUGGGACGGUACUGACGCUGAGACGCGAAAGCGUGGGGAGCGAACAGG